UACGUAGGGACCGAGCGUUGUCCGGAAUCAUUGGGCGUAAAGAGCGUGUAGGCGGCCACUUAAGUCCUGCGUGAAAUCUUGCGGCUCAACCGCAAGCGGUCGUGGGAAACUGGGUGGCUAGAGUGCGGGAGAGGAGAGUGAAAUUCCUGGUGUAGCGGUGGAAUGCGCAGAUAUCAGGAAGAACACCCGUGGCGAAGGCGGCUCUCUGGAACGCAACUGACGCUGAGACGCGAAAGCGUGGGGAGCAAACAGG
rnacentral:rRNA from 1 species